ensembl:lncRNA
GUCAAACUGAUCAGACAGUGUCAUACUCACUAUAGUGUCUGUCUCUGAAGAGAUUAAAGAUAGACCAUGCACUGUAAAUGACUGUAAACUAAGACUGUAGACUGGAGUUUACCUGUGAACAACCAGUGCCAUCAUAAAACUGUCACAUUUUUGCAUUGUAUAAUGAUGAACCAUUUCUUUUUUCCUCCAAUAACUACAUCCACAGAAGUGGGAUAUUUUAUUACAAAAUUGCUGGACGUGUGGUGAUAUAACCUACAACUAUAGUGGCUAAAGAACAUGUGAAUCCUGAGGAUGGGACCAGAAGGACAAUGCUGCUUGAUGGAGGAAGCGGAUGCCGAUGCAAAAAGAUCAAAACCCCUGUGCGCAAGAAACAAGUGUCCCACUCCCCGGCAGCCGAGCAGGAGGGAGGAAGAGUCGCUCAACAGGUUUGUGUCACUCCUCCAACUCUGCAGCUUUUUACCGUGUGUCCUUGGCUGCUCCGUCCUGAAAGGUAGCUGUAUCUGUUUUGGGAUCCUUUCUCUGUAGAAACGUCUGUGCUAUCUGUGCAUCAGUUUGAAGCUGCUUUUCCUCUUCCUGCGUGUGUGUGGAAAACACAAUCAAAGAGAAAAAUCAAUGUAUCCUCAAGCAAUAAAAAAUAAAAGUCAAUAGUUUUCAUAGAGUCUAUAUUUAGUGUAGAGUGAUGCAGAGAUUCUCAGUUCUGCCUGGCUGCAGUUUUCGAGAUAGAGCCAUUUCUCCACAUUCAUCAUUCAUUAUUUCUCUGACUGUGGCUUUAUGAAUCAUAACUCUGCAAAUGUUUCAUUUACACAGACAUACAGAGGUCCCAGACAGAUUUUGAACACCAAUAUAUAUAUAUAUAUAUAUACUGACUUACACAUGCUUUACUGAUGGAUGUAUGGAUGUGGGUGUAAUCAUUUGUGCGAGAUAGUGGUGGGGGUGAUGGGCUGCUGAUGGUAAUAUGGUCAGUAUCUAUUUUCUGAGAAGAUUGAGCGCUUGUAUCAUUUAUUAUCUCAUGAAUUUGCCCAGGUUCAUUCCUACUUUAAUCACAUGAGCAAUAUUACAACCUGGACUUAUCUAAUAUUAGUAUCCCCUAAUCUUGAUUAAUAAUCUUACCUCAUUCCAUUCUGUGAUUGAAAUAUAUCAUGCAGAUGACUCUGUAUAAUAUAUGCAGAGAGCAGUUCUAUUAUUUGGGGGUAAAUGGUUUCUUUUGAAGGAAGAACCUCUUAUUAAAAUCCUAUCCGAAGCAUUAUCUCUGAGUCUGUGUGGUUAGACAUGUAUACGAUGCAGCCCCCCCACACACUGGAUAAAAUGCAUGAACCAAUCACCAUCAGAGCGCUGCAGCAGGAGGGAGUCCCUGGCAACAGCUGCAUGCAUACCUGUUGGUCUAACAGUGCUGUUGGCAUCUAGUCCAAGCUGCAGAUUCUUGUCAAACCAUUGAAUACAGCACAUCUGAAAGAAUACCUUUAUCCCUCUCUGUACAUGAUCCUGCUCUGCAGUUGCAUGGACUUGGUGAAAAAAACAAAAAAAGAUAAUUUAAUCAUUUAAAAUCAUUUAAAGAAUGUUUUAAAUGAAGAAGUCCCUUUGAUGGGAAAGGGUUAUGGGGAGGGUAGUCUCCUUCCAAAAUAUACUUUAGAUCUGACGCCAGUUUAUAAUUUCUCAGUAAUAAGUGUGUCAAAUUCUUGAUUGAAUUUCAGCCAAGUCAAGUUCAGGGCCAAGUGAAUCUGUGCUGCUUUUUGGGCCACGUGUCCACACCCAGAGACAUGUACAUGCACUUGUUUAAUUCUUUUUGAAAUAUUCUUUGUCAUCUGAAAAUCCAUUAACAAAAUUGAAUAUAUAAUCAUUCAAAAGUGCCUAAGCAAACAAGAUGUGAUGUGAAAAAAAGUGAAGUAAAUCAAAAUGUAAAAAACCCUCUUUUAGGGAAAGAUGUUACAUGGACCAUUAUCAACCUCGUGCUCCCCCCUUAGUUUCUGCCUCGCUGCAUAAAGGGCACAAUGCUUCCUACAAAUGAACAUGAUUGCAAGGAUAGUGGGCUUAAAAUUCUCAUGAAGUAGGUCAUGGAAUAAGAAAACAAUGUGCCAUAUCAGGCAUAUCAUCAGUCACACUGGCCAAAAAACCCACUUACACCCACCAACAUCUGGCUUGUGUUUUAACCGUUAAAGGGUAACAAUAGCAUUCAUUCCCAGGUCAAAUGACUCUGCAGUAUUCAGGGCUAUUAAUUGGCUCCAGCUCUGAUCGGC